rnacentral:rRNA from 1 species
UUCCGUAGGUUUCCGUAGGGAUUA